rnacentral:rRNA from 1 species
CCMAAAGAUCGAAUGRWGAGAUUCAUCGUCAGCGAUUUUGGUACGUGUGCGGUUCGCGAUGCCGGAGACUUCGGUCUCAUGGUACGCGUCCGUAUGUUUUUUAUUGCCAUUAUCGUCGGCGUGCACUUCUCCCCUAGUAGGACGUCGCGACCCGUUGGGUGUCGGUCUACGGCCCGGUGUGUAGCCUGUCACGUGUGCGCUUCACGGCGUUACGCGGUACAGACACCCGGUUGCCCGACCGGCUGCCCGGCGGUACUCGCACGGUAUCUGGCCGCAAAUAUUCGAACUGCGUCCGGCCCGUCGCAAGCGAGGCAAGUGUUUCCCGGCUGUACGGAUCUAAUGCCGUCACCGGGCCUUGCCAGCUGUUGGCUGACGGUGUCCUAGGACAGGCUAACCAAAAUUAUGAUACCGGUCGGCGACGCUACUGCUUUGGGUACUUUCAGGACCCGUCUUGAAACACGGACCAAGGAGUCUAACAUGUGCGCGAGUCAUUGGGAACUAUUAAGCCUAAAGGCGCAAUGAAAGUGAAGGUCGGCCUUGCGCCGACCGAGGGAGGAUGGGCCGCGUCACGAUGCGGUCCCGCACUCMCGGGGCGUCUCGUUCUCAUUG